AGGAAGAUAUUAUAAAGGAAUCAUAACCGUUUUAGGAACGGUUGCUAUCAGUUCGAGUCUGGUUCUUCCCAC
rnacentral:tRNA from 1 species